CCGAUGACUCGGGGAUAGCCUUUCCAAAGAAAGAUUAAUACCCGAUGGCUCCGCAUGGUUAAAGAAUUUCGGUCAUCGAUGGGGAUGCGUUCCAUUAGGUUGUUGGCGGGGUAACGGCCCACCAAGCCUUCGAUGGAUAGGGGUUCUGAGAGGAAGGUCCCCCACAUUGGAACUGAGACACGGUCCAAACUCUACGGGAGGCAGCAGUGAGGAAUAUUGGUCAAUGGACGAGAGUCUGAACCAGCCAAGUAGCGUGAAGGAUGACUGCCUAUGGGUUGUAAACUUCUUUUAUACGGGAAUAAGUGAGGCACGUGUGCCUUUUUGUAUGUACCGUAUGAAUAAGGAUCGGCUAACUCCGUGCCAGCAGCCGCGGUAAUACGGAGGAUCCGAGCGUUAUCCGGAUUUAUUGGGUUUAAAGGGAGCGUAGGCGGACGCUUAAGUCAGUUGUGAAAGUUUGCGGCUCAACCGUAAAAUUGCAGUUGAUACUGGGUGUCUUGAGUACAGUAGAGGCAGGCGGAAUUCGUGGUGUAGCGGUGAAAUGCUUAGAUAUCACGAAGAACUCCGAUUGCGAAGGCAGCUUGCUGGACUGUAACUGACGCUGAUGCUCGAAAGUGUGGGUAU
rnacentral:rRNA from 1 species